rnacentral:tRNA from 1 species
CAGCCCCUAGCUCAGUGGUAGAGCGACUGACUUCGGAUCAGUCUGUCGCCGGUUCGAUCCCGGCGAGGCAUCCCA